CCAAAACAAAUGGACCUUCUAGCCCAAUAAUUACAAAAUACAAUUGCUGAAAUUUUAAGUGGGCUUUUGCCCCUCUUUCUGCCGUAUCACAAUGUAUACAACAUGUAUACAUCCUUUGAUCUCACUCCGAACACGUGCAUUUCAGCUCCCGGGACCCGUUUUUUGAUUCCAUUGGCUGGCCGACGCGAAAAGGAAAGGGUUUGAGCCUUUAUGGCUCUCUCGAAGUGCUAAGGGAAGGAGGAGUUCAUAGUGAACUCGGACAUAUUUCACAUACAAAACAAAAUAAGGGAAAAGAGUUAAUACAUAAUUCAAUCAACAUAAAUGCAGGAAGGAUAAACUAAUUCACAGGAAAAUACACACUAACUCAAGAAUGUAUAACUUAAAAUGUAAUUAGUCCAUACAGUAAGACAUAAAAAAAAAGAAAAAUGACAACUUUAAAUGAGCAAUUAAAAGGCCCAGUAGUCACUACUCAAAGUUAAUUAUCCUUAAUUGUGGGAAAUGAUGAAUGCUUACUCAUUUAAUAUAUAUAUAUAUAUAUAUAUAUAUAAAGUGAAUGAAUUUAACAGAAUUAGGCAUGAAGAGAUACUUCUUAUAAUGAAAAAUCUAAACUAAAGGCAAUGAGAAGAAACAUUAUCUUUUCACACAUUAUCCAAAGUAAUAACAAGAUGACCAAAUUGAUUAAGAAGCGCUAACACUAUGAUUGAUGCACACUCACAAUACUGAACGAAAUCAACUGCUCGGCAAGGUGAGGUUGAAAUAACACGCUAACUUGAGACUUCUCGAAAAUCCAAAGAAAUCAACGAAUUAACAGGGGAUCUUACCAUUGAAGCUUGAAAACGAAAUUAACUUGGGCAUAAAAAAUAAAGGUCAAGCUUGGAAACUAAGUCAAAACAGCCAUGUCUUUAGAAUAGUAAUUAGUCAUAAUAGAUACUCAUGUUCAUUGACACACAAACAGUAACCUCGGAAAAAAGGAUCAUCAAUACUCGAACAAAGAAUAAACGGUUUGAAACAUAAGCACAUUUAGACAUCUUAAUAUAUGAAACACGCUUAAUAUCGCAGGAAAUUCGAAUAGAGACCCAAAUCACCCUAAAGAACUAAAUGAGAACUAGAAAGACACCAACUAGCGUAAAAAGAAACAAAGUAAAACUUUUAACGUACUAACCGAAUUAGUCACAACAGAUCAAACCAGACUUUUAGCUGACUUUAUGAACCUAAUCAUAUAAAUACAAGAAAGAAACCAACUUGACCGAACGAUUUCCACAUUUUAAGAAAUCAUACGGAAAUUUACAGCAACCUAAAAAGGGAACAAAGCACUGAACAAAUUCCAGCGAACAAACAACAAACAAGCAUUUCUAUCUAUUCAAACACACAAGCGGAAAAUAGAGAAUGAUUAGAGGUUAACAAGAGGCAGAGUUAAGCAUAGAGAGUUUUACCUUUUUUCGGGCAGCGACGGGGACUCGAGCCACUAAAGACGAUUCCACCACCAACCCCUUACUUCAAUAAACCCGGAAGGAUGACGAACGGGAGGAGAGAGUAAAAAGGAACUCAAAAAUUAGUUCUCCUCUCUAUUUCUUUGAGUGUAUUUGUAUAUAUUCUCUGUCUCCUUUCAAAAUCUUAUACGUUGUUCUCUCUAUGUAGUUAAAUUUUCGCCAAUUCUUUCCAAUUUUUCUUCCCUAACUCUAUUUUCCACUUUUCUCUAGAUUUCUCUGUGAAGCUAGCCUCCAAAAAUCCCCCCCUAGCAGCAAAGACAACAGAAUAUAUAUAUAGAAGAAGAACUAGGGCAGAUUUGGGGGGAAAAGGGACGAAAAUUUGGGUUCAAGGCCCAUUCCGAAUUCAAAAUUGAAAAUCUUACACAAUUCUGGAGAGGCAACCUUUUCUCUGAAAAAUUCACCCCAUUCCGAAAGAGGAAAGGGAGAUGGACGGACUCGAUUGACCUCUCGUCCUUGAGUGCCGAUGUGGAGUAAUCUCGUGGCUACAAGGACUAAGGC
rnacentral:lncRNA from 1 species